rnacentral:lncRNA from 1 species
CGAUCGAUUGUUGCCUUCACCCAUCGAUCGAUAGUCGUGGUUGAUGGUCAACUUUGGGCCUUUGUCAUUUCUCUCCAAAAUGCACCAAAAUCACCACUUUCCUCCAAAUCAAUCCAAAACCUGAAAUCAUACUAAAAAGACUCCAAAACAACUAUAAGGUAUUUAAAAACACUUAUAUACCAUGGCUAAAAAUUGAAAAAUCCAAGGUAUAUCAGCACCUCAAGACUUACUCUUUUGCUUGUCCUCAAGCAAAAACAAUGAGCAGUCUCUCUGAAAGGUGUUUUUGAAACAAUAGGGACUCACAUAAUUUAAUAAUUUACUAUCAUCACCUCAACAGUAUUGCAACCACAUCAAAUCAAUCUUAACUUAGGAGUACUUUCUGUGCAAUAACCUAGCUUAGCAACCAAUUCCAAUCAUCCAGCAACUUAACUAAUCAUGUAUGACUAACCCCUCUACUGACCUCAUUUAGUGCAUGUAAAUAAAGAAAGUGUAGGCUUUACCUUGGGAGUAUCGAUCACUAAACACAUAGAAUCAACUCAAGCAAGUAUCUAGAUUUGCAUGUAACCUUUUCUGAUUUCCCUUCUCUCUUCUCUGAAUCUGAUUUUUUUUUGGGUCGACGACUUAUUUCCACACCAUAACUAUCAUAUAGUAACAGAUCCACACAAAAUUUCACCGUCAUCAUAAUUAGCCACAAUUAAACUACCUCAACCUAUUUCCCCCCC